rnacentral:rRNA from 1 species
GACGAACGCUGGCGGCGUGCUUAACACAUGCAAGUCGAACGGAAAGGCCUCUUUCGGGGGGUACUCGAGUGGCGAACGGGUGAGUAACACGUGAGUAGCCUGCCCUUGACUUUGGGAUAACUUCAGGAAACUGGGGCUAAUACCGGAUAGGAGCUCCUGCUGCAUGGUGGGGGUUGGAAAGUUUCGGCGGUUGGGGAUGGACUCGCGGCUUAUCAGCUUGUUGGUGGGGGAGUGGCUUACCAAGGCUUUGACGGGUAGCCGGCCUGAGAGGGUGACCGGCCACAUUGGGACUGGGAUACGGCCCAGCCUCCUACGGGGGGCAGCAGUGGGGAAUAUUGCACAAUGGGUGGAAGCCUGAUGCAGCAACGCCGUGUGCGGGAUGACGGCCUUCGGGUUGUAAACCGCUUUCGCUCAUGACGAAGCUUUGUGUGACGGUAGUGGGUAAAGAAGCACCGGCUAACUACGUG